CAUAGAUCAGUGGCAGAUCGUUUCGUUUACACCGAAAAGGUCGUCGGUUCGAACCCGGCCG
rnacentral:tRNA from 1 species